rnacentral:rRNA from 1 species
GACGAACGCGGCGGCGUGCCUAAUACAUGCAAGUAGAACGCUGAAGGAGGAGCUUGCUUCUCUGGAUGAGUUGCGAACGGGUGAGUAACGCGUAGGUAACCUGCCUGGUAGCGGGGGAUAACUAUUGGAAACGAUAGCUAAUACCGCAUAACAGUAGAUGUUGCAUGACAUUUGCUUAAAAGGUGCAAUUGCAUCACUACCAGAUGGACCUGCGUUGUAUUAGCUAGUUGGUGGGGUAACGGCUCACCAAGGCGACGAUACAUAGCCGACCUGAGAGGGUGAUCGGCCACACUGGGACUGAGACACGGCCCAGACUCCUACGGGAGGCAGCAGUAGGGAAUCUUCGGCAAUGGACGGAAGUCUGACCGAGCAACGCCGCGUGAGUGAAGAAGGUCUUCGGAUCGUAAAGCUCUGUUGUAAGAGAAGAACGAGUGUGAGAGUGGAAAGUUCACACUGUGACGGUAUCUACCA